UGGCAUACCUAUUUAGGCUGAUAAUUGAGUUUUAAGCGGCAAAUCCUUUUUCCUCCUUCCUCAGCAAUUUUGUUAAAGCGCAAUUAUGUUCUUCAAUAUGGAAACUCCAAUCAAUUCUUAAUCAAUUCUCAAUCAAUUGAAAUCUUCUCCAAUACGUCGUCUCUUCAAUUAAUAAAAAAAAACCCUAAUUUCAAUUUCAUAUAUUCGCUCCAUCUGUCUGUUGAUGUAUACUAUGUUUUAUGUUCAUUUCGUGUUUUACAUCCUUCCAAUCGAGCACAAACGAAACCUUAAAUCGGCAUCAGAGAUUAAGGCGAUUCUCAUCAAAGUGAUUAUCGAAACCUAAAUUGGAACCAGUCGAGGCAAAUCUAGGCAUUUACUCAUGUGAAUGUUCAACAAGAUCUGAAGGAUGUCAAACUAUGGCAGGUUUAUACUAUGUUAAAGGGUUUAGAAAAUAUAGCUGCCAGUGCAGAUAUACCAAUGUUAGUUUGUGGGGACUUUAGUUCUGUUCCUGGAAGUGCUCCUCAUGCGCUUUUAGCAAUUGGGAAAGUUGACCCAUUGCAUCCUGAUUUAGCAGUUGACCCUCUCGGAAUUCUUCGUCCCACCACAAAGUUGACUCACACUCUGCCCUUGGUUUGUUUUUUCGCAUCUGGAUCCAAAACGUAUUAACACGAAAGCACAAAUGAAGGACCAAAAAACCUUAGCAAUGUUAGUGAUUCAGCAAAAAUCGGUUAGCAUCUAAGGCACACAACUUGACACCACUAGGCUUUUCCACCUGCAGCUGCAUGAGACCUGAACAUGGUUGCCGAAAGCACUGAUAAGCAUUCUUUUUUCAUUCUAUCUCUCUUUUAGUAUUGUUUUACCUGUAAUCAUAUGUAUUGUUUACAUGUAAUCCUAUGUAGGUUUAUCCUCUUGGCAGCCACAGGCAAAACACAAGUGUUCUGGUGACUAAUCAAUAAUAUCUAGGCAGACUUAUCAUUGGAGUUGCUAAUGGAUUGUGGUCAGAUAAAGCUUAAUACCUAAGUAUCCCAAAAAGUGUAUUUCUUUAUUCAUUCUGUGUAACACCUCGUAAAAUCGUACCCAAUAAAAUAAAGACACGUGUCAUGAGACAAACGUGUCAGGAACCCGGGUCAAAUAAAGAUGUAUGGUAGGAUUUAAAAAGGGCGUCAUGUUAUUAAAGAUACCUCUGAACGACCCAAGGGCGACAUGUUAUUAAAACACCUCUGAGCAACCCGAAUCAUAAAUCCCAAGAUCCUUAAAUCGUUAUGAUAAGCAUCUGAUAUUAGC
rnacentral:lncRNA from 1 species